UACGAAGGGGGCUAGCGUUGCUCGGAAUUACUGGGCGUAAAGCGCACGUAGGCGGCUUUCUAAGUCGGGGGUGAAAUCCUGGAGCUCAACUCCAGAACUGCCUUCGAUACUGGAGAGCUCGAGUCCGGGAGAGGUGAGUGGAACUGCGAGUGUAGAGGUGAAAUUCGUAGAUAUUCGCAAGAACACCAGUGGCGAAGGCGGGUCUCUGGGCCGAUACUGACGCUGAGGAGCGAAAGCGUGGGGAGCGAACAGG
rnacentral:rRNA from 1 species